GACGAACGCUGGCGGCGUGCUUAACACAUGCAAGUCGAGCGGAAAGGCCCUGCUUUUGUUGGGUGCUCGAGUGGCGAACGGGUGAGUAACACGUGAGUAACCUGCCCUUGACUUUGGGAUAACUUCAGGAAACUGGGGCUAAUACCGGGUAUGAUCUCCUGCUGCAUGUGGGGGGUUGGAAAGUUUCGGCGGUUGGGUAUGUAUUCGCGGCUUAUCAGCUUGUUUGUGGGGUAGUGGCUUACCAAGGUUUUGACGGGUAGCCGGCCUGAGAGGGUGAGCGGCGACACUGGGACUGAGAUAAGGCACCGACUCCUACGGGAGGGAGCAGUGGGGAAGAUUGCAGAAUGGGCGGAAGCCUGAUGCAGAAACGCCGCGUGCGGGAUGACGGUCUUCGGGUUGUAAACCGCAUUCGCCUGUGACGAAGCGUGAGUGACCGUAAUGGGUACAGAAGCACAGGCUAAAUACGUG
rnacentral:rRNA from 1 species